UACUAAAAAUACAAAAAUUAGCUAGGCAUGGUGGCAGCUGGUGUAGUCCCAGUGUGGUGUAGUCCCAGCUACCUGGGAGGCUGAGGGAGGACAAUCGCUUGGACCCGUGAGGCAGAUGUUGCAGUGAGCAAAGAUGGCGCCAUUGUACUCCAACCCGUGCAACAGGACAAGACACUGUCUGAAAAAAAAUUAUAUAUGAUAUAUAUUAUAUGCUAUGUUUUA
rnacentral:misc_RNA from 1 species